rfam:Nitrospinae bacterium RIFCSPLOWO2_12_39_16 rifcsplowo2_12_sub10_scaffold_1788, whole genome shotgun sequence.
GGAGGGGUGGCCGAGUGGUUUAAGGCACCGGUCUUGAAAACCGGAGGACGAAAGUCCCGUGAGUUCGAAUCUCACCUCCUCCG